rnacentral:lncRNA from 1 species
AGACGAUAUCGAUAAAAAAAAAAUAAUAAUAAUAAUAGUAACUAUAAUACGAGUACAAUGUUACACAGUUAUAAUACGUGCCUUGUUCAAAUAAGAAUACAUUUUUAAAUUUCAUUGUUUGCGAAACAAAUCGAUUUGUUUUAGGGACGGCCAAAUAAUAUUGAUAUUUUUCGUUAUGUUAUUUCUAUUGAUAAUAUCGACAUAUCGACGAUAUUUGUAGCUAUAAUAUCACAUGUUCAAUAUUUUACAUUGAUGUUUUAUAAUAUUUGACCCAGUGGUUCUCAACCGGAGCGAUAUGGGCCCAUAUAGAAGUCACACGAAACCCUAAAGGUUUUAAAAUUGUUUCGAAUAAAAUCGUAUUAUUGGACUCACGGCCGGGUAAUCACCUCCACCGUCGGAACAAAAUCGGUAACAUCGGCCAACGAAAUAAAGUUGUAAUAUUGUUUAAAAUCUAGAAUUUCAAUGCAUUACGCGUAUUUUGUUUGUAGAACGACGCAGCGUCGGAUUAUCGUGAUUGAGGGUUACACAAUGAAUAAAAAAAAGUGGAAAACCAUGAACCGGAAAAAAAAAAAAAACACAAACUCGUUAAAAAGUAAAACGCUUAAAACGGUAGGCAGUACGUUUGUGAUUGAUAUGGGUAUAAUAGACGUUUGAAUUUAAAAUUUCAUUACAGUUUCUUGUGUUCCGCAAUUUCAAUACCUACACAAUUUAUCGAUAAAUCCGUGUGUCUAAUAAAAAAUGCGGAUAUAUCGACAUAUCUAAUUUUCCGAAUUGAAAUAUCAACGUUAUUUUUCAAAAUGGGCAAUUUUAAUUCGUUCAUUAUUCGUUUAAACAUCGUACUCGUACAAUAAUAGUCAUACAUAUUAUAAUAUAAUCUUAAAAUCGCGAAUAUCCGUAAUAAUAAUAUUACGUUUUAGUUUUCAAAUAUUCGCAUUUCUGCGUUUAUAUUUUGGUGAAAGCGUAUUCCAAUAUUAACUGAUUAACUGAUUCGUUGAAUACGGGUCAAAAGGCGUGAAGUUUCAUCGAUGGGCGGCCUCUUCGAUUAGGAUUACUGCAUUAUGUUUAUUAUAAAUUAACUUUUUGUACUUUUUGUAUAAUCUGUUAUAUUUGCACCACGUUUGUAGUUAUUAUAAAAAAAAAAAAAAACUCUAUACAUUUACUCUAAUAAUAUAAUAUAUAAAAUAAAAUAAACAAUUACCGUUGAUUUUUAGCUGUCCUACGCUCAAUAUUAUAUUGUCUGCGCUCAAUUGUCGUGGCGUUCAGCAGCCGGGACACCCAUAAAUCGAUCGAGCGCUUUAUGUUUUAAAUUCAAAUUCCGAAAUUCGGUCCUGACGUCUUUUUAAAUAUUUUUUCAAUUUUAUAGAAAACAAAAAUCGAAUUCGGAAAAUGUUGAACAAUAAACCUGGGAGAAUUUUUCCCGGAAAUCACAUAAAAGUAGGUAGUUAAAUUGCAACGACAUUUUACAAUGUUCAAUGUGCAUUUUGUACUCUCUAACGUUUGCUGUACCCAUGCCACUUAAGUAUCGUGUGAAACCGAUGGCGUGCGCAGGAAUUUUUAACGAGAUGUAGUAUAAAUGAUAAUCAUGAUUCAUGAAUUGUGACUUGGCUAAAAUAUAUAAUUUCAAGAUAAAACUACUAAAUGAACACUCUUAGGUGUUGUAUUUGUAAGUCAAUGAGACUGUUUUUACUGUUUUUUUCUUUAAUGUGUACAGCAUGUACAUUUGUUUUAUUUUUUUUUAUCUCGUGCGCAAAAUUAUAAACAUCUGUUGAAAGCAUAGCGCUCGGGUUAUCGGUAUCAAUUUUCGAAUUUGUUCAUAUAUGUGCUAGAAAAUCACCAUCGAAAUUUAUCAGGUCUCGUUAAAAUUUCGGGGGCAAUCCUGUUGGCUUUUAUAACGAAUCCCGUUUCCGUUUCAUCAUUAUAAUGAAACACGGACGACUCGAUAUCUAAUCGGAUGGUCGGAUAACGUACAUUUUUUUAAUUUUUUCUUUUUUUUGAAAUGCGAACAGAAAUGAUUUUAUUGUUGUAAUAUUGAUUUUGUUUAACAUAAGUACCUAUACCUAGAUGUUAAUAUGAUAUAUACACUACACAUAAUUUGGCCAUUCGAAAAUAUCUAUAAUACCUAUAUGUAUAUAUAUAUAUACAUAUAUAUUAUAUACCUAUUGUAAUCGUUUUGUUCGUGGACGUGAAAAACCGACGUCCUCGUUAUAUUUUGUUUGAUUUAUUAUUAUUAUUAUUUCUGAAUCGUUACUCAAAAAGUUAAAAGCAGGCAUGUUAUUAAAAGGGUGCAAAAUUAUUGCCGUCUCUGUCCACCAGAUGGGCAAUGUAGCGAAAAUGUGUUUCCAAUAGUAAUAAGUAAGUACUCGGGAUUUCAUAUGUAGAUUUAAAACAAAAAUUAUUUCACCAAAGAUGAUAACGUUUACUAUACACGUGUUCAAAUAGGAGUUUUUCGAUUUCUAUUUUAUCAAAUAAACUUGACCUAUUCAUACUUCGAAAUUUAAAAAAAACGAAAUCACAUUUGUAUUAUUAUUAUACUUCUGUCUAAAUUGAAAAUCGUAUAAUGAACAAAUCGAAAACUACCACAUUGAAAACAUACAGAAAUGACGUUUUCGUUUUUAAUCAAGUGAAAUAAUUCGUCUAUCUAUUAUACCUAUUGGAUGUACAAAAACACGCGUUUGCCAUAUUGCCUGUUAGGUAUAUAGGUAGAGACGACAAUUAUAUUACUGUCACACCCUCUUAAGAAAACUGUCCAAACUAUACGUAAAUUAUACAGUGAAUAAUAUAAUAUUAAUGUGUGUUCCUCGAUUUUUACGAAUUCGGUAUACGUUUAUUUUGGCGCUUAUUGUGUUUAAAAAAAGUGAAGUAAGAAUCACUAUACAUAAUAAAUUAUUGUAAGUAUAUAUUAUUAUUAUUAUAAUAACAUAAUAUUAUAUAGUUUAACACUACGUACUUAAAUAUUUGUAUAUUUUUUUUAUAACUGAUCGACGGCGAUUUUAAUUGAACAAUUAUUAUUAUUAAUUUAUGUAUCAAAUUUUGUACGGUAUUUUUUGACCGACCAAUAUAAUAUUGUAUAACGACAUAGUAUUUAAUUUAAC